rnacentral:lncRNA from 1 species
AGCCUCGCAGCGUCAGUAAAGAGGUGGAACAAGAAAUGCUCGCAAACUUUCAAAGAAUAAUUUUUUCCGUCGUAGUCAGCGAUUUCAUAGUUUUUGCCGUCUUCUUCUCGCGGGCGCCUAAACAUUACCCUGAAAUUUACCUCGAGCUGCAAUAUUUUCUGAUGUCGCCAGUCACGAAAGUUCCAUUACGUCACGCAGCGAAAGAGCUCUGGUUUGUCACAUUGCGUCUUGCUGACUAGGAUUUCGCGAUUCUGGAUCCAGAGCCUUACCUUGGCUUGCUUUACGGGAUCGUCGACGCACUUUCACAAGGAUGAUGAAUCCGAUUAUCGGCAAAGCACUAUUUCUCACUCUUGGCACGAGUAUGUGGUUGUGGAUGCAAGCCUACGUCAAACUGCAGAUUGCAAUUCACGGUGAACAUGUUUUGAAGCCUCUCAAUCGGACAGUACCGAAUGACUUCUACAGUGACUCCUUCGGACAACACGAGUACGCAGAACUAACGAAUAUUACCAUGCAUUAUGUGACAAAAGGCUGUGAUGUUGAGAAGCGUCCUGUUGUUCUUCUCUUGGGCAUGG